CACAAAGUUAAGUCAUACCUUAUUAAUGGGCAGCAUCAAAUACUAACAAUUAUCUGUAUCGUCUCAUAUCCUCAGAUAACUCCAUGCCUUGAAUCAACAGCUUGAAAGUGAUUGAAAAUACCAGUAGAAAUUGGAAUGUUGAGUUAACCACAUGUCUACUGGUGUGAAUUUAAACAUUGGUUGCUUUUAUUUCUAAGUAACUUUUCACAUUGAAAAUCAAACUAAAAGCAAGUCAGUAAAACCUAUUUGAUUAAAUGAAAAUGUCAUGUAUUUCACAAGUUUUAAAAAAUCUUGUCUGGCAAAAUGUUUAAUAAGAAAAAUCUGGUUUUGUUUUGCUCUGUUUUAUUUUGCUCUUACUUGCAGCUUGUCCUGAAGAUCACUAUGGGCAGAACUGUGUUCAAUGGCGUUCCUGUGGCUCAGGACAGUGUGACCCAGUGACUGGAGUGUGUCAGUGUCCACCUGGCCGAAUGGGAACCAGGUGUCAGGAAGGUAACAAUGGGCAGGGUCACCUUCUCUGUCCAAGCACUAAAUUAGCUAUGCUGCGAAAGCAGAUUUGGUGCCAACGAAGAUAAUUAUAUGGACAAUAUUUACAAGAAUGUUUUCUGUUAGUGUGGCUUUCAAAUAACAUGAAAGUACAUGCUCCCGAGCCGGGCGCGGUGACUCACGCCUGUAAUCCCAGCACUUUGGGAGGCCGAGGAGGGCGGAUCACGAGGUCAGGAGAUCGAGACCAUCCUGGCUAAGACAGUGAAACCCCGCCUCUACUAAAAAUAUAAAAAAUUAUUGGGGCGUGGUGGCGGGUGCCAGUAGUCCCAAC
rnacentral:lncRNA from 1 species